UACGAAGGGGGCUAGCGUUGUUCGGAAUACUGGGCGUAAAGCGUGCGCAGGCGGCUUCUCAAGUCAGGGGUGAAAGCCCAGAGCUCAACUCUGGAAUUGCCUUUGAGACUGAGUGGCUUGAGUACGAGAGAGGUGAGUGGAAUUCCCAGUGUAGAGGUGAAAUUCGUAGAUAUUCGCAAGAACACCAGUGGCGAAGGCGGCUCACUGGCCCGGUACUGACGCUGAGGUGCGAAAGCGUGGGGAGCAAACAGGG
rnacentral:rRNA from 1 species